CGCGAAAACUUUACAAUGCUGGCAACAGCGAUAAGGGAACCUCGAGUGCCAGGUUACAAAUCUGACUGUCGAGAUGCCUAAAAAGCAUUUCAUAGCAAGGGCCGGGCAAGACCGGUGCCAGCCGCCGCGGUAACACCGGCGGCUCGAGCGGUAACCGUUAUUAUUGGGUCUAAAGGGUCUGUAGCCGGCCGGAUAAGUCUCUUGGGAAAUCUGGCAGCUCAACUGUCAGGCUUUCAGGAGAUACUGUCUGGCUCGAGGCCGGGAGAGGUGAGAGGUACUUCAGGGGUAGGGGUGAAAUCUUGUAAUCCUUGAAGGACCACCAGUGGCGAAGGCGUCUCACCAGAACGGACCUGACGGCAAGGGACGAAAGCUAGGGGCACGAACCGGAUUAGAUACCCGGGUAAUCCUAGCCGUAAACGAUACUCGCUAGGUGUCGGCCACGGUGCGGCCGUGGUCGGUGCCGUAGGGAAGCCGUGAAGCGAGCCACCUGGGAAGUACGGCCGCAAGGCUGAAACUUAAAGGAAUUGGCGGGGAGCACCACAACGGGUGGAGCUUGCGGUUUAAUUGGAGUCAACGCCGG
rnacentral:rRNA from 1 species